GACGAACGCUGGCGGCGUGCUUAACACAUGCAAGUCGAACGGAAAGGCCCUGCUUUUGUGGGGUGCUCGAGUGGCGAACGGGUGAGUAACACGUGAGUAACCUGCCCUUGACUUUGGGAUAACUUCAGGAAACUGGGGCUAAUACCGGAUAGGAGCUCCUGCUGCAUGGUGGGGGUUGGAAAGUUUCGGCGGUUGGGGAUGGACUCGCGGCUUAUCAGCUUGUUGGUGAGGUAGUGGCUUACCAAGGCUUUGACGGGUAGCCGGCCUGGGAGGGUGACCGGCCACCUGGGGACUGAGGUACGGCCCAGUCUCCUACGGGAGGCAGCAGUGGGGAGUAUUGCGCAAUGGGCGGGAGCCUGAUGCAGCAGCGCCGCGUGCGGAAUGACGGCCUUCGGGUUGUAAACCGCUUUCGCCUGUGCCGAAGCGUGAGUGACGGUAAUGGGUAAAGAAGCACCGGCUAACUACGUG
rnacentral:rRNA from 1 species